GUAGGUGGCAAGCGUUGUCCGGAAUUAUUGGGGCGUAAAGCGCGCGCAGGCGGUUCUUUAAGUCUGAUGUGAAAGCCCACGGGCUCAACCGUGGAGGGUCAUUGGAAACUGGAGAACUUGAGUACAGAAGAGGAAAGCGGAAUUCCACGUGUAGCGGUGAAAUGCGUAGAGAUGUGGAGGAACACCAGUGGCGAAGGCGGCUUUCUGGUCUGUAACUGACGCUGAGGCGCGAAAGCGUGGGGAGCAAACAGGAUUAGAUACCCUGGUAGUCCACGCCGUAAACGAUGAGUGCUAAGUGUUAGGGGGUUUCCGCCCCUUAGUGCUGCAGCUAACGCAUUAAGCACUCCGCCUGGGGAGUACGGCCGCAAAGGCUAA
rnacentral:rRNA from 1 species